rnacentral:rRNA from 1 species
UACGAAGGGGGCUAGCGUUGUUCGGAUUUACUGGGCGUAAAGCGCACGUAGGCGGAUCGUUAAGUCGGGGGUGAAAUCCUGGAGCUCAACUCCAGAACUGCCUUCGAUACUGAAGAGCUCGAGUCCGGGAGAGGUGAGUGGAACUGCGAGUGUAGAGGUGAAAUUCGUAGAUAUUCGCAAGAACACCAGUGGCGAAGGCGGCUCACUGGCCCGGUACUGACGCUGAGGUGCGAAAGCGUGGGGAGCAAACAGG